rnacentral:rRNA from 1 species
AACGAACGCUGGCGGCAGGCCUAACACAUGCAAGUCGAGCGGACCCUUCGGGGUUAGCGGCGGACGGGUGAGUAACGCGUGGGAAUAUGCCCUUCUCUACGGAAUAGUCCUGGGAAACUGGGGGGAAUACCGUAUACGCCCUGUGGGGGAAAGAUUUAUCGGGGAAGGAUUAGCCCGCGUUGGAUUGGGUAGUUGGUGGGGUAAUGGCCUACCAAGCCGACGAUCCAUAGCUGGUUUGAGAGGAUGAUCAGCGACACUGGGACUGAGACACGGCCCAGACUCCUACGGGAGGCAGCAGUGGGGAAUCUUAGACAAGGGGGGCAACCCUGAUCUAGCCAUGCCGCGUGAGUGAUGAAGGCCUUAGGGUUGUAAAGCUCUUUCAGCUGGGAAGAUAAUGACGGUACCAGCAGAAGAAGCCCCGGCUAACUACGUG